GAUGAACGCUGGCGGCGUGCCUAAUACAUGCAAGUCGAGCGAAUGGAUUAAGAGCUUGCUCUUAUGAAGUUAGCGGCGGACGGGUGAGUAACACGUGGGUAACCUGCCCAUAAGACUGGGAUAACUCCGGGAAACCGGGGCUAAUACCGGAUAACAUUUUGAACCGCAUGGUUCGAAAUUGAAAGGCGGCUUCGGCUGUCACUUAUGGAUGGACCCGCGUCGCAUUAGCUAGUUGGGGAGGUAACGGCUCACCAAGGCAACGAUGCGUAGCCCACCUGAGAGGGUGAUCGGCCACACUGGGACUGAGACACGGCCCAGACUCCUACGGGAGGCAGCAGUAGGGAAUAUUCCGCAAUGGACGAAAGUCUGACGGAGCAACGCCGCGUGAGUGAUGAAGGCUUUCGGGUCGUAAAACUCUGUUGUUAGGGAAGAACAAGUGCUAGUUGAAUAAGCUGGCACCUUGACGGUACCUAACCAGAAAGCCACGGCUAACUACGUGCCAGCAGCCGCCGUAA
rnacentral:rRNA from 1 species